UGGAUAGAUGAUUUUUCCUGCAAUGGUAUUUUGUCUAAAUGUUUUUUCGCCUAAGGAUGGGUCUGCGGCCGAUUAGGUAGUUGGUUAGGUAAUGGCUUACCAAGCCGUUUAUCGGUACGGGUUGUGAGAGCAAGAGCCCGGAGAUGGAACCUGAGACGAGGUUCCAGGCCCUACGGGGCGCAGCAGGCGCGAAACCUCCGCAAUGUGAGAAAUCGCGACGGGGGGACCCCAAGUGCCAUUCUUAACGGGAUGGCUUUUCUUGAGUGUAAAAAGCUCUUGGAAUAAGAGCUGGGCAAGACCGGUGCCAGCCGCCGCGGUAACACCGGCAGCUCUAGUGGUAGCCAUUUUUAUUGGGCCUAAAGCGUUCGUAGCCGGUUUAAUAAGUCUCUGGUGAAAUCCUACAGCUUAACUGUGGGAAUUGCUGGAGAUACUAUUAGACUUGAGGUCGGGAGAGGUUAGAGGUACUCCCAGGGUAGGGGUGAAAUCCUGUAAUCCUGGGAGGACCACCUGUGGCGAAGGCGUCUAACUGGAACGAACCUGACGGUGGGGGACGAAAGCUAGGGGCG
rnacentral:rRNA from 1 species